rnacentral:misc_RNA from 1 species
AAGUCGUAACAAGGUUUCCGUAGGUGAACCUGCGGAAGGAUCAUUAACACGUAUCCAACGUUAAAACAACCCUGUGAACCUUCAAUCUUGCUCGCGUGGCUCCAUGAAAGCAGCAAUCCCUGGUAAAUCAUUGUCGACCAGAUUUUGAGUCAGGGACCUCUGCCGAUUGUUCGGUUUUUUGUGGUCAGCGGAAUUAUCGCGACCUGUCGGCGUUACAGUGUGGUGAUUUAUAAGGGGCAUGGUGACCCAGGGACCCGGUCGUCGGCCGUGUCGGCCUCCAACGAUCGUGUUUGCGCCACCCUUACACAAUCAAAGACGCUUUCAGAACUCUGAUUGCUUGGGGGUGCCAGGUCGCUUGCAUCGCUACGAGCGUAACUCUCACUGUUAACAAUGGAUAUCUUGGUUCUC